rnacentral:rRNA from 1 species
GACGAACGCUGGCGGCGUGCUUAACACAUGCAAGUCGAACGAUGAAGAAAAGAUUUUGAGCUUCGCCAGAAAUUCAUUUCGGAUUAUUGGCAGACGGUUGAGUAACGCGUGAGCAACCUACCUCUUACAAAGGGAUAGCCUCGGGAAACCGGGAUUAAUACCAUAUAACAUUGCGACGAAGCAUUUCGGUGCAAUCAAAGCUACGGCGGUAAGAGAUGGGGGCGCGUCACAUUAACCAGAUGGUGAGGUAACGGCUCACCAUAGUAACGAUGGGUAACCGGGCUGGGAGGCGGAAACGUUACAACGGAACUGAGACACGGUCCAGAAUCCGACGGGAGGGAGCAGUGGGGAAUAGUGCACAAUGGAGGGAACUCUGGUGCAGCGACGCCGGGUGAGUGAUGAAGGAAUUCGUUUCGUACAACUGUGUUCUAUGGGAAGAAAAGGACUGUACCAGAGGAGAAAGCACCGGCUAAAUACGUG